AGAGUUUGAUCCUGGCUCAGGACGAACGCUGGCGGCGUGCCUAAUACAUGCAAGUCGAGCGGACAGAUGGGAGCUUGCUCCCUGAUGUUAGCGGCGGACGGGUGAGUAACACGUGGGUAACCUGCCUGUAAGACUGGGAUAACUCCGGGAAACCGGGGCUAAUACCGGAUGGUUGUUUGAACCGCAUGGUUCAAACAUAAAAGGUGGCUUCGGCUACCACUUACAGAUGGACCCGCGGCGCAUUAGCUAGUUGGUGAGGUAACGGCUCACCAAGGCGACGAUGCGUAGCCGACCUGAGAGGGUGAUCGGCCACACUGGGACUGAGACACGGCCCAGACUCCUACGGGAGGCAGCAGUAGGGAAUCUUCCGCAAUGGACGAAAGUCUGACGGAGCAACGCCGCGUGAGUGAUGAAGGUUUUCGGAUCGUAAAGCUCUGUUGUUAGGGAAGAACAAGUGCCGUUCGAAUAGGGCGGUACCUUGACGGUACCUAACCAGAAAGCCACGGCUAACUACGUGCCAGCAGCCGCGGUAAUACGUAGGUGGCAAGCGUUGUCCGGAAUUAUUGGGCGUAAAGGGCUCGCAGGCGGCUUCUUAAGUCUGAUGUGAAAGCCCCCGGCUCAACCGGGGAGGGUCAUUGGAAACUGGGGAACUUGAGUGCAGAAGAGGAGAGUGGAAUUCCACGUGUAGCGGUGAAAUGCGUAGAGAUGUGGAGGAACACCAGAGGCGAAGGCGACUCUCUGGUCUGUAACUGACGCUGAGGAGCGAAAGCGUGGGGAGCGAACAGGAUUAGAUACCCUGGUAGUCCACGCCGUAAACGAUGAGUGCUAAGUGUUAGGGGGUUUCCGCCCCUUAGUGCUGCAGCUAACGCAUUAAGCACUCCGCCUGGGGAGUACGGUCGCAAGACUGAAACUCAAAGGAAUUGACGGGGGCCUGCACAGGCGGUGGAGCAUGUGGUUUAAUUCGAAGCAACGCGAAGAACCUUACCAGGUCUUGACAUCCUCUGACAAUCCUAGAGAUAGGACGUCCCCUUCGGGGGCAGAGUGACAGGUGGUGCAUGGUUGUCGUCAGCUCGUGUCGUGAGAUGUUGGGUUAAGUCCCGCAACGAGCGCAACCCUUGAUCUUAGUUGCCAGCAUUCAGUUGGGCACUCUAAGGUGACUGCCGGUGACAAACCGGAGGAAGGUGGGGAUGACGUCAAAUCAUCAUGCCCCUCAUGACCUGGGCUACACACGUGCUACAAUGGACAGAACAAAGGGCAGCGAAACCGCGAGGUUAAGCCAAUCCCACAAAUCUGUUCUCAGUUCGGAUCGCAGUCUGCAACUCGACUGCGUGAAGCUGGAAUCGCUAGUAAUCGCGGAUCAGCAUGCCGCGGUGAAUACGUUCCCGGCUG
rnacentral:rRNA from 1 species